AUUGAACGCUGGCGGCAUGCCUUACACAUGCAAGUCGAACGGUAACGCGGGGCAACCUGGCGACGAGUGGCGGACGGGUGAGUAAUGCAUCGGAACGUGCCCAGUGGUGGGGGAUAACUGCUCGAAAGAGCAGCUAAUACCGCAUACGACCUGAGGGUGAAAGCGGGGGAUCGCAAGACCUCGCGCUAUUGGAGCGGCCGAUGUCAGAUUAGGUAGUUGGUGGGGUAAAGGCCCACCAAGCCAACGAUCUGUAGCUGGUCUGAGAGGACGACCAGCCACACUGGGACUGAGACACGGCCCAGACGCCUACGGGAGGCAGCAGUGGGGAAUUUUGGACAAUGGACGCAAGUCUGAUCCAGCCAUGCCGCGUGCGGGAAGAAGGCCUUCGGGUUGUAAACCGCUUUUGUCAGGGAAGAAACGCUCUGGGUUAAUACCUCGGGGUAAUGACGGUACCUGAAGAAUAAGCACCGGCUAACUACGUGCCAGCCGCCGCGGUAAAAC
rnacentral:rRNA from 1 species